CCUACGGGUGGCAGCAGUGAGGAAUAUUGGUCAAUGGACGAGAGUCUGAACCAGCCAAGUAGCGUGAAGGAUGACUGCCCUAUGGGUUGUAAACUUCUUUUAUAUGGGAAUAAAAUGUUCCACGUGUGGGAUUUUGUAUGUACCAUAUGACUAAGGAUCGGCUAACUCCGUGCCAGCAGCCGCGGUAAUACGGAGGAUCCGAGCGUUAUCCGGAUUUAUUGGGUUUAAAGGGAGCGUAGGUGGAUUGUUAAGUCAGUUGUGAAAGUUUGCGGCUCAACCGUAAAAUUGCAGUUGAAACUGGCAGUCUUGAGUACAGGAGAGGUGGGCGGAAUUCGUGGUGUAGCGGUGAAAUGCUUAGAUAUCACGAAGAACUCCGAUUGCGAAGGCAGUUCACUGGACUGCAACUGACACUGAGGCUCGAAAGUGUGGGUAUCAAACAGGAUUAGAUACCCUUGUAGUC
rnacentral:rRNA from 1 species